rnacentral:rRNA from 1 species
AGAGUUUGAUCCUGGCUCAGAAUCAACGCUGGCGGCGCGCCUAACACAUGCAAGUCGAACGAGAAAGUGGAGCAAUCCAUGAGUACAGUGGCGUACGGGUGAGUAACACGUGGAUCAUCUACCUUUUAGUGAGGAAUAACCAUGGGAAACCGUGGCUAAUACCGCAUAAUCCCGAGAGGGGAAAGUCGCAAGACGCUGAAAGAGGAGUCCGCGGCCGAUUAGCUAGUUGGCAGGGUAAAAGCCUACCAAGGCAAAGAUCGGUAGCCGGCCUGAGAGGGCACACGGCCACACUGGCACUGAAACACGGGCCAGACUCCUACGGGAGGCAGCAGUGGGGAAUCUUGCACAAUGGGGGAAACCCUGAUGCAGCGACGCCGCGUGAGCGAUGAAGCCCUUCGGGGUGUAAAGCUCUUUCGGCAGGGAAGAUAGUGACGGUACCUGCAGAAGCAGCUGCGGCUAACUACGUGCCAGCAGCCGCGGUAAUACGUAGGCAGCGAGCGUUGUUCGGAGUUACUGGGCGUAAAGGGUGUGUAGGCGGUUGUUUAAGUUUGGUGUGAAAUCUCCCGGCUCAACUGGGAGGGUGCGCCGAAUACUGAAUGACUUCGAGUGCGGGAGAGGAUAGUGGAAUUCCUGGUGUAGCGGUGAAAUGCGUAGAUAUCAGGAGGAACACCGGUGGUGUAGACGGCUAUCUGGACCGUAACUGACGCUGAGACACGAAAGCGUGGGUAGCAAACAGGAUUAGAUACCCUGGUAGUCCACGCCCUAAACGAUGCAUAUUUGGUGUGGGCAGUUCAUUCUGUCCGUGCCGGAGCUAACGCGUUAAAUA